GAUGAACGCUGGCGGCGUGCUCAAUACAUGCAAGUCGAGCGAACAGACGAGGAGCUUGCUCCUCUGACGUUAGCGGCGGACGGGAGAGUAACACGUGUAUAACCUACCUAUAAGACUGGGAUAAUUUCGGGAAACCGGAGCUAAUACCGGAUAAUCUAUUGAACCGCAUGGUUCAAUGGUGAAAGACGGCUUUUCUGUCACUAAUAGAUGGAUCCGCGCCGCAUUAGCUAGUUGGGAAGGUAACGGCCUACCAAGGCAACGAUGCGUAGCCGACCUGAGAGGGGGAUAGGCGGCCCGGGAGCUGGACCGGGGUCAAGACGCCUGCGGGAGGCAGCAGUAGGGAAUCUUCCGCAAUGGGCGAGAGCCUGGCGGAGCAACGCCGCGUGAGUGAUGAAGGUCUUCCGUUCGGAAAACUCUGUUAUUAGGGAAGAACAAAUGUGUAAGUAACUAUGCACGUCUUGACGGUACCUAAUCAGAAAGCCACGGCUAACUACGUG
rnacentral:rRNA from 1 species